GGACCAAGGAGUCUAGCAUGUGCGCGAGUCAUUGGGAUUUUUACUAAACCUAARGGCGCAAUGAAAGUGAAGGUCCGCCUUGCGCGGACCGAGGGAGGAUGGACCGUUCCGAGGGACGGCCUCGCACUCCCGGGGCGUCUCGCUCUCAUCGCGAGAAGAGGCGCACCCAGAGCGUACACGCUGGGACCCGAAAGAUGGUGAACUAUGCCUGGUCAGGACGAAGUCAGGGGAAACCCUGAUGGAGGUCCGUAGCGAUUCUGACGUGCAAAUCGAUCGUCGGAACUGGGUAUAGGGGCGAAAGACUAAUCGAACCAUCUAGUAGCUGGUUCCCUCCGAAGUUUCCCUCAGGAUAGCUGGCGCUCGCUUCUCGCGAGUCUCAUUCGGUAAAGCGAAUGAUUAGAGGCAUUGGGGUCGAAACGGCCUCAACCUAUUCUCAAACUUUAAAUGGGUGAGAUCUCCGGCUUGCUUGAACUGUGAAGCCGCGAGAUAUCGGAUCAGAGUGCCAAGUGGGCCACUUUUGGUAAGCAGAACUGGCGCUGUGGGAUGAACCAAACGCAGAGUUAAAGCGCCUAAAUCGACGCUUAUGGGAUACCAUGAAAGGCGUUGGUAACUUAAGACAGCAGGACGGUGGCCAUG
rnacentral:rRNA from 1 species